rfam:Actinotignum schaalii strain CCTG 27420 chromosome, complete genome.
CAACGGCACUCUUCACUCGGAUCGUCCGGCACGUACCUGCCGGUGAAGGGACCAGUAA